rnacentral:lncRNA from 1 species
CAGACUUGCCUGCAGUCCACUGUUUGAAGCUUCGCUGUGUUCUCGGGUGGGAUGCAUCCUCAUCUUCAGUUCGGGGCCCAGGUGACCUUGGGGACGACCAUUAGGACCAGGUAGCUUGCUCUGGGCCCUAGCACGCAGAGCCCAGGAGUCCCAAAGCCUCAGAACCUAACUGAUAUCAGGCACUCUGCUCCACUAGGAAGCGGAGCUUUGUUCAUGGUGAGGACCUUUAGUUUUUGCCUGAGUUGUGAGAUUUUACAUCUCUGCACUUGGGCAUAACGAAUAAAUAAUUAUCACAGACCUGGAUUCUCUAGUAAACCUCCAGCUCAAUAUUACCAUCAAUGAAGUAUCACAGGACAUUCUUCGGGGGCCUAGAAGAUCUUCUGUUCACUGACUCUGAAUCAAAACUCCACUCUGGGGGCUUAGCCCAUGAACAGCUCUUAGAACCCUUCCUGCCCCUCCCAAGCCCUUCUGUUAGCUCCGAAGUUCACUUGGGUUUGUGGAAUCUGUA